rfam:Tetragenococcus halophilus NBRC 12172 DNA, complete genome.
CGUAGUAACAACGAAUAGGCAGAAGUCAGCCAAGGUCAUAGUAGUAUCCUAUGGAUAUGAAGGAC